GGAAAUUAAGAGAGAGCAAGUACACUCCAGUCAACAUAGUCUUUUUUGGAUACAUCACACCAUUACCUUGGGGCCUUCUGUUUUCCGGCUCCUAGGGCAGUGAAGCUCAGCUGGUUCCAGCACCCAGAAGGAAGCUCCCCGCCUCCAUCCCAGGCUCCUAGGGCAGAGGGGGUGAGCUGGUCCCAGCACCCAGAAGGAAGCUCCCUGCCUCCAUCCCAGGCUCCUAGGGCAGUGAAGCUCAGCUGGUCCCAGCACCCGGAAGGAAGCUCCCCUGCUGCCAUCCCAAGCUCCUAGGGCACAGAAGGUGAGCCGCGUGGGCGCCAGAAGCACCCCCCCACCCGUGGAAAUGAGAAGACACAUAAACAAGCCUCAAAAACAGACUUCAAUAUCAUCUACAGCAGCCCCAAAGGGAAAUGAGAUGGAACACUCUGAUACCCAACCACCUGGACUCUCUGAACUGGCAACAAAAGAGGAUCUGGGAAAAAUGAAAUCAGAAAUAAUUACUCAGAUAACAGCAAAGGUUUUGCUCAUGGUGCAAGACAUGAUUAAUAAAUCUAGAGAGGACACAGAUAAAAAAAAUAGAGGAUCUGAGGAAUAUGAUGGAAUCCCAACAUAGGAAACAAAUAGAGUCCAUGAAACAGAUACAAACAGAUUUCCAAGAGAUUAAAAAACUCCAUCAAAAGUCUGCGCAGCAGAAUGAACCAAUGUAAGGAUGGAAUUUCAGAUAUAGAAGAUAAGAUUGCAAUUAGUGAGGAGGAAAAGAAAAAUUGCUUUAAAAUUGUGAGGGAACAUGAGAAAUCAAUCCAGCAGCUGCUAGACAAUGCAAAGAAGAA
ensembl:lncRNA